AGCGAACGCUGGCGGCGUGCUUAACACAUGCAAGUCGAACGUGAACAUGUAGCAAUACAUAAGUAAAGUGGCGUACGGGUGAGUAACACGUGGGUAAUCUACCGAAGAGCCUGGAAUAACCGGCCGAAAGGCUGGCUAAUACUGGAUAGUUCAAGGGCAUUAUAAUGAUGCCAUCGGGAAAGGGAGCGGGUAACCGCCUUCACUUUUUGAUGAGCCCGCGUCUGAUUAGCUAGUUGGUGAGGUAAUGGCUCACCAAGGCAGAGAUCAGUAGCUGGUCUGAGAGGAUGAUCAGCCACACUGGAACUGAAACACGGUCCAGACUCCUACGGGAGGCAGCAGUGGGGAAUCUUGCGCAAUGGACGAAAGUCUGACGCAGCCACGCCGCGUGAGUGAAGAAGG
rnacentral:rRNA from 1 species